UGGGGAAUAUUUGACAAUGGGUGAAAGCCUGAUCCAGCCAUGCCGCGUGUGUGAAGAAGGCCUUUUGGUUGUAAAGCACUUUAAGCGAGGAGGAGGCUACUUAGAUUAAUACUCUAGGAUAGUGGACGUUACUCGCAGAAUAAGCACCGGCUAACUCUGUGCCAGCAGCCGCGGUAAUACAGAGGGUGCGAGCGUUAAUCGGAUUUACUGGGCGUAAAGCGUGCGUAGGCGGCUUUUUAAGUCGGAUGUGAAAUCCCUGGGCUUAACUUAGGAAUUGCAUUCGAUACUGGGAAGCUAGAGUAUGGGAGAGGAUGGUAGAAUUCCAGGUGUAGCGGUGAAAUGCGUAGAGAUCUGGAGGAAUACCGAUGGCGAAGGCAGCCAUCUGGCAUAAUACUGACGAUGAGGUACGAAAGCAUGGGGAGCAAACAGA
rnacentral:rRNA from 1 species